rnacentral:rRNA from 1 species
AACGAACGCUGGCGGCAGGCUUAACACAUGCAAGUCGAGCGCCCCGCAAGGGGAGCGGCAGACGGGUGAGUAACGCGUGGGAAUCUACCCAUCUCUACGGAAUAACGCAUGGAAACGUGUGCUAAUACCGUAUACGUCCUUCGGGAGAAAGAUUUAUCGGGGAUGGAUGAGCCCGCGUUGGAUUAGCUAGUUGGUGGGGUAAAGGCGUACCAAGGCGACGAUGCAUAGCUGGUCUGAGAGGAUGAUCAGCCACACUGGGACUGAGACACGGCCCAGACUCCUAGGGGAGGCAGCAGUGGGGAAGAGUGGACAAUGGGCGCAAGCCUGAUCCAGCCAUGCCGCGUGAUUGAGGAAGGCCCUAGGGUUGUAAAGCUCUUUCACCGGUGAAGAUAAUGACGGUAACCGGAGAAGAAGCCCCGGCGAACUUCGUGCCAGCCGCCGCCGUAACAC